UGGGGAAUAUUGCACAAUGGGCGCAAGCCUGAUGCAGCCAUGCCGCGUGUAUGAAGAAGGCCUUCGGGUUGUAAAGUACUUUCAGUCGGGAGGAAGGUGGUAAGGUUAAUAACCUUAUCAAUUGACGUUACCGACAGAAGAAGCACCGGCUAACUCCGUGCCAGCAGCCGCGGUAAUACGGAGGGUGCAAGCGUUAAUCGGAAUUACUGGGCGUAAAGCGCACGCAGGCGGUUGAUUGAGUCAGAUGUGAAAUCCCCGGGCUUAACCCGGGAAUUGCAUCUGAUACUGGUCAGCUAGAGUCUUGUAGAGGGGGGUAGAAUUCCAUGUGUAGCGGUGAAAUGCGUAGAGAUGUGGAGGAAUACCGGUGGCGAAGGCGGCCCCCUGGACAAAGACUGACGCUCUGGUGCGAAAGCGUGGGGAGCAAACAGG
rnacentral:rRNA from 1 species